ensembl:lncRNA
AGGUAAACAUGGACAGAGACCGAGCUCAGACAACCAUCGGACGGGAGGGAAAAUGGAAUUAAAGCCACGUUUGUUCCACUGCACUUUGAUUUAUGUGCUUCAGUGUGAAAAUAGUUUGUUCUAAGCUUUGAAGACUGUUUGGAUCAUUCCAGAACUGGAGGACGUCUGGGCUUCAACAUGUUAGAAAUUCAACCUUCUCUUUUCCAGGUUUCUGCUCCAUAUUGAUCAAUAAUAGCAGUAGAAGCUAGAUAUUUAGCUGCUGUUACUGCUGACCAAGAGGACAAACUGACUGAUGGAAAACAGUCCAAAGUCACUUUGGACAACUUUGGAGUAAUUUGGGUCAAUUUUGGAGUUAUUCUGGACAAUCAUAAGUCUUUUUGGAAAGUUUUGGGUGAUUUUGUACAAAUUAAGGGUAGUUCAGAAUGAGUUUCAAAUCAUUUUGGUAAAAUUUGGAGUUAUUCUGGACAAACUUUAAGUCUAUUUUGGAAAGUUUUGGGUGUUUUUGGACAAAUUUGGAGUAAUUUUGGUCAAAUGUGGACCAAUCAAAAAAGUAAAAAUAAUUUUUCUUGAUAAUUUGCACAACAGGGUUGCUUGAGGUAGAGUGUAGUAGGAUGCUAACAGGAUGCUAACAGGAUGCUAACAGGCUAACAAAGGUGACAACAAUCAUUCAUUCAAAGCUGACAAUGUGAUGAAAAUCAGAAAAACAGAAGAGCUUUGCUCAUUCUUUAGGGCAACUGGUUGAUGAUUGAUUCCAGUGUUUCAUGUGAUUCACUGUUUUCUUCUUCUUCUACCAGAUAAAAAGGUUAAGCUAACACAUUGUGGGACACGCUCCAUGCGUCAUAAUUAUUUUUGCUCAAAAUUCAUCCAAAAUGAGGAAUUUUGUCAUGAAAGAAUCUAUGUAAUAUUGUUAUUUAAGUGUGAAUAAAGGUUUAACCUACGG